rnacentral:rRNA from 1 species
AUUGAACGCUGGCGGCAGGCUUAACACAUGCAAGUCGAACGAGUGGCGGACGGGUGAGUAAUGCUUGGGAAUCUGGCUUAUGGAGGGGGAUAACGACGGGAAACUGUCGCUAAUACCGCGUACAAUCGGAUGAGACCAGGUGGGAUUAGGUAGUUGGUGGGGUAAUGGCCUACCAAGCCGACGAUCUCUAGCUGGUCUGAGAGGAUGACCAGCCAAACCGGGACUGAGACCCGGCCCGGACCCCUACGGGAGGCAGCAGUGGGGAAUAUUGCGCAAUGGGGUCAACCCUGACGCAGCCAUGCCGCGUGUGUGAAGAAGGUCUUCGGAUUGUAAAGCACUUUUAGUUGGGAGGCGUUACCAACAGAAUAAGCACCGGCUAACUUCGUGCCAGCAGCCGCGGUAAUAC